rnacentral:rRNA from 1 species
AGGCAGCAGUGGGGAAUAUUGGACAAUGGGCGCAAGCCUGAUCCAGCAAUGCCGCGUGUGUGAAGAAGGCCUUCGGGUUGUAAAGCACUUUUAUCGGGAGCGAAAAGCGGACGGUGAAUACCCGUCCGUGCUGACGGUACCCGAGGAAUAAGCACCGGCUAACUUCGUGCCAGCAGCCGCGGUAAUACGAAGGGUGCAAGCGUUAAUCGGAAUUACUGGGCGUAAAGCGUGCGUAGGCGGUUCGCUAAGUCUGCCGUGAAAGCCCCGGGCUCAACCUGGGAAUUGCGGUGGAUACUGGCGAGCUGGAGUGUGGUAGAGGAGGGUGGAAUUCCCGGUGUAGCGGUGAAAUGCGUAGAGAUCGGGAGGAACAUCAGUGGCGAAGGCGGCCCUCUGGACCAACACUGACGCUGAGGCACGAAAGCGUGGGGAGCAAACAGGAUUAGAUACCCUGGUAGUCCACGCCCUAAACGAUGCGGACUGGACGUUGGGCACAACUCGGUGCUCAGUGUCGAAGCUAACGCGUUAAGUCCGCCGCCUGGGGAGUACGCUCGCAAGAGUGAAACUCAAAG